rnacentral:lncRNA from 1 species
UCAGCCUCCUGAGUACCUGGGACUACAGGUGCAAGCCACCGCGCAUAGCUAAGUUUUAAUUUAUUUUUUGUAGAUAUGAGGUUUCACUUUGUUGCCCAAGGUGAUCUCACACUCCUGGGCUCAGGAGGAUUGCUUGAGCCCACACGAUGGAGAGGUAGCACUGAGCUGAGAUAGCACCAUGGCACCCCAGCCUGGGCAACAGAGCCAGGCUUUGUCUUAAACAAACAAAGAACAUGGUUUGUCCAUUUAGAUUUCCUUUUAUGCCCUUUAGCAAGUUUUAUUUUUUUUUCCAUAAAGUUCUUGAACAUUUUGUGGUGGUUAAAUUUAUUAUUUUACUUAUUUUUACAUAUAGCUAUUAGAGAGGAUCUUUAUUUUUUAGUUCUCAUAUGUUUUCUAGUUAGUUACUACUAGAGUAACCUAUCAUCCUAGUUUAUACCUGCUACAUGCCAUCCAUUUAUUCCCAUUGUCCUGGUUUGGAUAAUAAAUUAAAUCGUGUGGCCUUAGUUAUUAACAAUUUUAUCAUUUAGGAUUUCAUUCAGUUUCAACUAAUAAAACCUCACUAGUGGAUUGUUAACAAAUAAGAGGUAUAUUUAUCUCAUAACAGAAAUCUGCAUGUAGGUGGUCCAGUGCUCGUGCAACAGCUCCAUAAUAUCUUCAGGAACCUCGCCUUGUCUUCCAGCACUACUGUCUGUAGAAUGUAUCUUUCAUCCUCAUUUGUAAGAUGGUUUCUGCACCUUCUGGCAUCUUUUCUAUCUUCGAGACAUACAGGAAUAAAAAUGCAGAGCAAAAUGAGUUUUUGUUUUCUUUUCUGGAAAGAGUGAGUUCCC